UGGGCUAUUACUAGGAUCUCCUGCUUGU
rnacentral:piRNA from 1 species